GGAACUUUUGAUAUUAUACUGCUAUAUCACAUUUAACCAACCUGACAUGUCAACGUUCUCUGCAACUUUUCUACAUGCAGUAGCCUUCCUAUUGAUAUCUCUAUAACCCUCAUCGGAGAGAUCA